ensembl:lncRNA
AAGAACACAGGGAAAAGACAGCCAUCUGCAGCCAAGGGGACAGCUGACCCCGGUGAUGCCUUGAUCUCAGACAUCUAGUCUGCAAAACUGCAAGAAUACUGGAGUGGAUUGCCAUUUCCUUCUCCGGGGGAUGUUCCCGACCCAGAGAUCAAAGCCAUGUCUCCUGCAUUGGAUCGUUGCAUGAAGGAUAGUCAUUACUGUCUUUCUAAAUUCCAUGUGUAUGUGCUAAGUUGCUUCAGUUGUGUCCGACACUUUGCGACCCAAUGGACUGUAUUUGGCCAGGCUCCUUUGUCCAUGGGAUUCUCCAGAGUCACCUUGGCUACAACCUACCACCAUGAUGGAUGAUUUUUAAGGUCAAAAUGUAAACUCAAAUUGCGUGGUAAUGAACAAGGUCUUACUCCAGAGCUUUGGUAUUCUGUGUGUUGGCAGAAAUGUGACCUUUGGCAUGGCUCUGUGGCUGUGCCUUGAAAGAAUAAAGACUUUGGCUCCAAGACUCGAAACUAUUUUCCUUAGAAGAGGCAUUUUUAUGUUUCUUCCUUCAAAUAGACCUCAAAUGAUUCUCAAGGAGGGAAAACAAUGAAAAAAUUUUGAAAUAUUAAUAUAUUCCUUAUUUUGUGUUGCAAAAAUCACCUUAGGCACGCCAGCAACAAUGCCUUUCUAUAAGAGUUUGCGGCAAUA